CUUCUUGUUCACUGGCUUGGCAAGCGGCAAGCGGCAAGCGGUGGAACCUGCCUUCAGCUACAAGAAGAGGCUCAUAGGCGGAAGGGACUUGCCUUGUCUCAUAUGAAACUUUGGACUGUGGACUUUUGAGUUAACGCUGAAAUGAGUCUCUCUCUUUGCCUGCCUCCAUCCACGUAAGAUAUGACUUGGUCCUCCUUGCCUUCGGCAAUGAUUGUGUGGCCUCCCCAGCCACGUAGAACUGUAAGUCCAAUAAACCUCUUUCUUUUGUAAAUUU